UACGUAGGGGGCAAGCGUUGUCCGGAAUCAUUGGGCGUAAAGAGCGCGUAGGCGGUCCGGUAAGUCCGCUCUGAAAGUCCGGGGCUCAACCCCCGGGAGGCGGGCGGAUACUGUCGGGCUAGAGUCCGGAAGAGGCGAGUGGAAUUCCUGGUGUAGCGGUGAAAUGCGCAGAUAUCAGGAGGAACACCAAUGGCGAAGGCGGCUCUCUGGAACGCAACUGACGCUGAGACGCGAAAGCGUGGGGAGCAAACAGG
rnacentral:rRNA from 1 species